CCUAAACAUAUGGCUGACGGUUCCCCAAUUGGAUGACUCCAAGGGGAUUAAUAGGGAACACGGUGCGGAAUACCCAACAAGGGACCAAGACCGUGGCUGCCCCCGCAACUGUAAGCGGAUUGCCGUCCAUCCUCGUGGCGUGAAAGCGCCAGGCCACUGCGAUCGUGAUCGCGGGAAGGCAGAUGGACAGCAGAUAUCCGCGAGCCAGGAGACCUGCCGUCGUCGAAGAGAAACCG
rnacentral:ncRNA from 1 species